GACGUUGUGACCCGAAUUGGUUAGGGACCAGACUGCAGAUCUGGGUUAUGGGGGUUCGAGUCCCUCCAACGUCU
rnacentral:tRNA from 1 species